GAUUAACGCUAGCGGCAGGCAUAAUACAUGCAAGUUGAACGGCAGCACAGGUAGCAAUACUGGGUGGCGAGUGGCGCACGGGUGCGUAAUACGUAUGCAACCUACCCUAUACAGGCGAAUAACCUUUAGAAAUGAGGGCUAAUACGCCGUAGUAUUACAGAUGGGCAUCUAUUUGUAAUUAAAGAUUUAUCGGUAUAGGAUGGGCAUGCGUCCCAUUAGUUAGUUGGUAAGGUAACGGCUUACCAAGACGAUGAUGGGUAGGGGAUCUGAGAGGACUUACCCCACACUGGUACUGAGACACGGACCAGACUCCUACGGGAGGCAGCAGUAAGGAAUAUUGGGCAAUGGCCGCGAGGCUGACCCAGCCAUGCCGCGUGCAGGAAGACGGCCUUAUGGGUUGUAAACUGCUUUUAUACGGGAAUAAUAGAGUGUACGCGUACAUUUAUGCAAGUAUCGUAUGAAUAAGCAUCGGCUAACUCCGUG
rnacentral:rRNA from 1 species